rnacentral:rRNA from 1 species
CCUACGGGAGGCAGCAGUGGGGAAUUUUGGACAAUGGGGGCAACCCUGAUCCAGCCAUGCCGCGUGUGUGAAGAAGGCCUUCGGGUUGUAAAGCACUUUCGGACGGAACGAAAUCGCGCGGGUGAACAAUCCGCGUGGAUGACGGUACCGUAGGAAGAAGCACCGGCUAACUACGUGCCAGCAGCCGCGGUAAUACGUAGGGUGCGAGCGUUAAUCGGAAUUACUGGGCGUAAAGCGUGCGCAGGCGGCGCCGCAAGUCAGGCGUGAAAUCCCCGAGCUUAACUUGGGAAUGGCGCUUGAAACUACAGUGCUGGAGUGUGGCAGAGGGAGGUGGAAUUCCACGUGUAGCGGUGAAAUGCGUAGAGAUGUGGAGGAACACCGAUGGCGAAGGCAGCCUCCUGGGCCAACACUGACGCUCAUGCACGAAAGCGUGGGGAGCAAACAGGAUUAGAUACCCUGGUAGUCCACGCCCUAAACGAUGAUGACUAGUUGUUGGGGGAGUUAAAUCCCUUAGUAACGCAGCUAACGCGUGAAGUCAUCCGCCUGGGGAGUACGGUCGCAAGAUUAAAACUCAAAGGAAUUGACGG